rnacentral:rRNA from 1 species
GAGUUUGAUCAUGGCUCAGAACGAACGCUGGCGGCACGCCUAACACAUGCAAGUCGAGCGCUCACUUCGGUGGGAGCGGCGGACGGGUUAGUAACGCGUGGGAACAUACCCUUUACUACGGAAUAGCCUUUGGAAACGAAGAGUAAUACCGUAUACGCCCUACGGGGGAAAGAUUUAUCGGUAAAGGAUUGGCCCGCGUUAGAUUAGAUAGUUGGUGGGGUAACGGCCUACCAAGUCUACGAUCUAUAGCUGGUUUGAGAGGAUGAUCAGCAACACUGGGACUGAGACACGGCCCAGACUCCUACGGGAGGCAGCAGUGGGGAAUCUUAGACAAUGGGGGAAACCCUGAUCUAGCGAUGCCGCGUGUGUGACGAAGGCCUUAGGGUCGUAAAGCACUUUCGCCAGAGAUGAUAAUGACAGUAUCUGGUAAAGAAACCCCGGCUAACUCCGUGCCAGCAGCCGCGGUAAUACGGAGGGGGUUAGCGUUGUUCGGAAUUACUGGGCGUAAAGCGUACGUAGGCGGAUUAGUAAGUUAGAGGUGAAAUCCCAGGGCUCAACCCUGGAACUGCCUUUAAUACUGCUAGUCUAGAGUUCGAGAGAGGUGAGUGGAAUUCCAAGUGUAGAGGUGAAAUUCGUAGAUAUUUGGAGGAACACCAGUGGCGAAGGCGGCUCACUGGCUCGAUACUGACGCUGAGGUACGAAAGUGUGGGGAGCAAACAGGAUUAGAUACCCUGGUAGUCCACACCGUAAACGAUGAAUGCCAGUCGUCGGGUAGUAUACUAUUCGGUGACACACCUAACGGAGUAAGCAUUCC